CCUACGGGUGGCUGCAGUGGGGAAUAUUGCACAAUGGGCGCAAGCCUGAUGCAGCCAUGCCGCGUGUGUGAAGAAGGCCUUCGGGUUGUAAAGCACUUUCAGCGGGGAGGAAGGCGUUAAGGUUAAUAACCUUGUCGAUUGACGUUACCCGCAGAAGAAGCACCGGCUAACUCCGUGCCUGCAGCCGCGGUAAUACGGAGGGUGCAAGCGUUAAUCGGAAUUACUGGGCGUAAAGCGCACGCAGGCGGUCUGUCAAGUCGGAUGUGAAAUCCCCGGGCUCAACCUGGGAACUGCAUUCGAAACUGGCAGGCUAGAGUCUUGUAGAGGGGGGUAGAAUUCCAGGUGUAGCGGUGAAAUGCGUAGAGAUCUGGAGGAAUACCGGUGGCGAAGGCGGCCCCCUGGACAAAGACUGACGCUCAGGUGCGAAAGCGUGGGGAGCAAACAGGAUUAGAUACCCUAGUAGUC
rnacentral:rRNA from 1 species